rnacentral:rRNA from 1 species
CCUACGGGUGGCUGCAGUGAGGAAUCUUGGUCAAUGGGCGCGAGCCUGAACCAGCCAAGUCGCGUGAAGGAUGACUGCCCUACGGGUUGUAAACUUCUUUUAUAAAGGAAUAAAGUGAGGCACGUGUGCCUUUUUGUAUGUACUUUAUGAAUAAGGAUCGGCUAACUCCGUGCCAGCAGCCGCGGUAAUAAGGAGGAUCCGAGCGUUAUCCGGAUUUAAUGGGUUUAAAGGGAGCGUAGGUGGGUUGUUAAGUCAGUUGUGAAAGUUUGGGGCUCAACCGUAGAAUUGCAAUUGCUACUGGCAGCCUUGAGUACAGUUGAGGUAGGCGGAAUUCGUGGUGUAGCGGUGAAAUGCUUAGAUAUCACGAAGAACUCCGAUUGCGAAGGCAGCUUACUAAACUGCCACUGACAUUGAUGCUCGAAAGUGUGGGUAUCAAACAGGAUUAGAUACCCGAGUAGUC